GAUGAACGCUAGCGGCAGGCCUAACACAUGCAAGUCGAGGGGCAGCACAGAAACAGCAAUGUUUUGGUGGCGACCGGCGGACGGGUGCGUAACGCGUAUGCAACCUACCUUUAACAGGGGGAUAACGGAGAGAAAUUUCCACUAGUACCCCAUAACAUCGAUCAAGGCAUCUUGAUUGGUUGAAAACUCCGGUGGUUAAAGAUGGGCAUGCGUUGUAUUAGGUAGUUGGUGAGGUAAUGGCUCACCAAGCCUACGAUACAUGGGGGACUGAGAGGUUAGCCCCCCACACUGGUACUGAGACACGGACCAGACUCCUACGGGAGGCAGCAGUGAGGAAUAUUGGUCAAUGGGGGCAACCCUGAACCAGCCAUGCCGCGUGCAGGAAGACGGCUCUAUGAGUUGUAAACUGCUUUUAAACAGGGAUAAAGCACAGUAUGUAUACUGUGUUGAAGGUACUGUAAGAAUAAGGAUCGGCUAACUCCGUGCCAGCAGCCGCAGUAA
rnacentral:rRNA from 1 species